GAUGAACGCUGGCGGCGUGCCUAAUACAUGCAAGUCGAGCGAACAGACGAGGAGCUUGCUCCUCUGACGUUAGCGGCGGACGGGUGAGUAACACGUGGAUAAUCUACCUAUAAGACUGGGAUAACUUCGGGAAACCGGAGCUAAUACCGGAUAAUAUAUUGAACCGCAUGGUUCAAUAGUGAAAGACGGUUUUGCUGUCACUUAUAGAUGGAUCCGCGCCGCAUUAGCUAGUUGGUAAGGUAACGGCUUACCAAGGCAACGAUGCGUAGCCGACCUGAGAGGGUGAUCGGCCACACUGGAACUGAGACACGGUCCAGACUCCUACAGGAGGCAGCAGUAGGGAAUCUUCCGCAAUGGGCGAAAGCCUGACGGAGCAACGCCGCGUGAGUGAUGAAGGUCUUCGGAUCGUAAAACUCUGUUAUUAGGGAAGAACAAAUGUGUAAGUAACUAUGCACGUCUUGACGGUACCUAAUCAGAAAGCCACGGCUAACUACGUG
rnacentral:rRNA from 1 species